rnacentral:rRNA from 1 species
AUGGAACCGUCCGGUUCAGGAGCCGCAGAACCGGUCGAGGACGACCACAACCAAGAACCGGCCCACGGGGGCUCCAACUGCAGCGCCUCCUCCAAUGGGGAUGGGGCCCCGAGCGCCGCUGCGCCGCCACCUCCCGCCGCGACGCCCCUCGACCAGGCCGGAGGCUCCUCCGCCCCCUCCCUCGACUAUGGCACCUUCGGACCGUGGCUGACGUGGAACGACGUCCCCGUGGUGUCGCCGGCGAGGGAGGAUCCCGACGCGGCGGCGGCGGGGCCGUCCGGCUCCGGGCUGGCGUUCGACCAGCGGCUGGCGAUCGAGCAGGCGGCCGCCGACGUGGCGAACGCGCUGUGGGGACGGCAGGUGGUGACCCUUGCGAUGCUGCGACGUUCUCGUGGCGCUUCUCUGUAUUCCCCUGCGAUGUUCAACUCGUGGCGCGCGGAAGAGGCGCUCGAGCGGAAGGAACAGAUUCGUAGAAGAGAAAGGGCAAUAUGUUCGGAACAUGUGAAGCACCAGACACAUCCCAUCACUGAAGUCAAAAGGCAUCAUAAGCUUGCUUCUGAUGAGGCGAACCAUCUUGAUGCCUAUUCGGAAUGUAGAUCGGUGAUUGGAGAUGGGGAGUGUUUCUACAGGAGUUUCAUAUUUUCGUACCUUGAGCAAGUUAUUGAUAGGCAGGACACACAUGAGGAACACCGUCUCCUUGAAGCUGUUGAUAUGGUGAAUCUGCACUUUGCAGCUCUUCGAUGGAACGAGUCUGAGUUUCGAUGGAACGAGUCUGAGUUUUCCAGGAGCAGCAGAGCAUUUAGGAAUCUGAUCGAGAAAGUAAUGAGAUGGAAGAGUCAUGGCAGGUGGAAGAGCAUGGAAUCAACUAGCAGCUACCGUAGAGAGGAACUUCUCGAGUUCUUCAGCGAGUACGAUACGACGCAAGACAUUUUUAUUUUCCUCAGAUUAGUAGUAGCUGUCGAGAUAUGCUGGCACGACGAGGUGUAUGAACCGCUUAUACCAGGGCUCAGUGGAAAUUACAAUCUUCUAGAUUGGUGCUUUCAGCGCGUCACUCCAGCUCGUCGGUUCACGGAUCAUGUUAUGAUGGUGGCCUUGGCCAGAGCGCUUGAGAUACCCCUCAGAGUGGAGCGAGUCCGAGGAGGAUAUGAUCCAGAUAUCCACACUGUCCCUGGAGUUCCCCGUCCGAGAGUGACCCUGCUGUACUCGGCAAACCACUACGAAAUCAUCUACCCGCGUGCUCCUCCAGCUGAGAGUUCGAGUCAUCAGGCUUCCCAGAUAGAGCAUGCUGCUGAUGAGGGUUCAAGCCAACAGACUUCCCAGAGAGAACAUCCUGGUGAUGAGAGUUCAAGUGAAUAG